GAGACUUUCAGCAGAUGUGAGUCUUUUCUCUCAGGUCUUACAGUCUGGAACUCUAGGAGAGAUUCUCUGGCCAUUAAAUCUUGCCCAGCCUCAGGAUUCUGUUACCACAGCACAAGAUCUGCACAGAAAGAGCAGUGCUGUUUGUGGAUCUGGGUUUUCACCAAGGUCUUCUUGCCUAUGUUUUAACUGGCCGGAGAUCCAGACGGACAUAAAUCUGGGAAGGGGCCACAGAGGGGAGGUGUUGUCUUCGGUACGGGCAUUUUAUAUCUUGAAAACCUCAAGCAUAACAUUUGCAAGAUUUCUAUCAGACUUGCCAAGGACUAACCAUCAAGUCGUCCACAACCAGUACCUUGAUGAUUAACUGUAUUUCAGCCUUGAGGUUGGUUUGCUGCACUUUCAGAAAUUUUGGCAAAAAGGUUAUAAUGUCAAAUGGAUUUAAACAUAUAUUUAAACAUUAAUUACACUCAUGAACCUACUCUAUAGUGCCCGACUAGUAUGCAAACCCCAUGAGAUUAAAGACAACACGAGUCACUCCUAUGUACAGAAUGCAUUUUUUGCCGUACAUACUUAUAAACUUUUAUAAGAUUGUGAUUUCUGGUUUAGGUUUAUUGUAAUGAUUAAUUUUAAUGUGUCAAUUAGACUACAUUACAGACUAUCCAGAUGUGAUUAAAUAAUAUCAAGAGUG
rnacentral:lncRNA from 1 species